rnacentral:sRNA from 1 species
CGAAAGGGUGGCUAGGGUUCCGGUUUGGUGCAAAUCAAAUGUCUGGUCCAAGAGCCAUCGGCCUGAGUUGGCACAUUCACCAACGCAGGCUCCACGGCGGGACAAAAGCCCGGGAGAU